rnacentral:rRNA from 1 species
UACGUAGGGUGCGAGCGUUAAUCGGAAUUACUGGGCGUAAAGUGUGCGCAGGCGGCUGCGCAAGUCGAGUGUGAAAGCCCCGGGCUUAACUUGGGAAUUGCGCUCGAAACUACGUGGCUGGAGUGUGGCAGAGGAAGGUGGAAUUCCAGGUGUAGCGGUGAAAUGCGCAGAUAUCGGGAGGAACACCAAUUGCGAAGGCAGCUCGCUGGGACGUUACUGACGCUGAGACGCGAAAGCGUGGGGAGCAAACAGG